CUUGUAAAAUAACUGAAAAGCAGUUAUUUUUAAGGCUGUGUAGCUGUGACCAAAAAAAAAUGCUCUAAAUCCAGUUGUAUUACUCUGAAAAUCUGACUAGAUGAAAGAGGCAAUUUAUUUCGAUGUUGCUCAGCAAGCCACACCACACAAUGGCCGGUGAAUCUAUUCAUCUCUGCUGUGAGCUAAUGAUCUGUCAGCAGAACAGAUGCUCUUACACC